AAGUGAGCCGAACAAGAUGAUAAAAUCAGAAACACAGGCUUAAAAUACCAUCUGGUAUUCAUGAGCUUCAUUGCAUGUGUGUGUAUGUGUUAGUAGGAUUAAAACAUUCUGUGCUUAUGUAUGUCGUUUUAACUACUUUCCUCUUUUUCUGAAACAAAUCUCUGUUUACUACACCUUCUUGUUUCAGAAACAUCUAAAGAAGAAAGUAUCUAUUGUAGUCAGGCACAGCUAAAUUCUGCUUCUGAGUAACAGGAGGAGGAGAGUCUGGUGGUGCAGCAGAGGAACAAUUUCAGCCAUUUGGACUCAGCUCAGCCACUACAGAGGAAGCAAUGACUUCAACACAAAAGGACCAACAUGGAGCGAGAAGUCAGCGCACUCAGGAAGCCGACAAACCUCACAGAAGAAA